CCCACUGCUAUCGAGGUGGGACUAAGCCAUGCUAGUCGAACGAACAGAACUAUGUCUGUAAGUGGCAUACUGCUCAGUAACACGUAGCUAACCUACCCUUAGGACGUUAAUAACCCCGAGAAAUUGGGGCUAAUGAACGAUAGAUAUGAUGUCCUGGAAUGGUAUCAUGCCCAAAGGUAUCCCAUACAUGUUUGGUAUACACCCAAGGAUGGGGCUGCGGCCGAUCAGGCAGUUGGUGAGGUAAUGGCUCACCAAACCUUUGACCGGUACGGGCCAUGAGAGUGGUAGCCCGGAGAUGGACACUGAGACAAGGGUCCAGGCCCUACGGGGCGCAGCAGGCGCGAAACCUCCUCAAUGCACUAACGUGCGAAGGGGUUACCUCGAGUGCCACCUGAAGAAGGUGGCUUUUCCUUGGUCUAAAAAGCCUCGGGAAUAAGAGGGGGGCAAGACUGGUGUCAGCCGCCGCGGUAACACCAGCCCCUCGAGUGGUGGGGAUGAUUAUUUGGCCUAAAGCGUCCGUAGCCGGCCGGGUAAGUUUCCCGUUAAAUCCAACGUCUCAAGCGUUGGACUGCGGGAAAUACUGCCUGGCUAGAGAGUGGGAGAGGUCAGCGGUAUUCUGGGGGUAGGGGCGAAAUCCUUUGAUCCCCGGAGGACCACCAGUGGCGAAGGCUGCUGACUAGAACACGUCUGACGGUCAGGGACGAAAGCUGGGGUAGCGAACCGGAUUAGAUACCCGGGUAGUCCCAGCCGUAAACGAUGCAUGCU
rnacentral:rRNA from 1 species